rnacentral:rRNA from 1 species
UUAAGCGACUAAGCGUACACGGUGGAUGCCCUGGCAGUCAGAGGCGAUGAAGGACGUGCUAAUCUGCGAUAAGCGUCGGUAAGGUGAUAUGAACCGUUAUAACCGGCGAUUUCCGAAUGGGGAAACCCAGUGUGAUUCGUCACACUAUCAUUAACUGAAUUCAUAGGUUAAUGAGGCGAACCGGGGGAACUGAAACAUCUAAGUACCCCGAGGAAAAGAAAUCAACCGAGAUUCCCCCAGUAGCGGCGAGCGAACGGGGAGGAGCCCAGAGCCUGAAUCAGUGUGUGUGUUAGUGGAAGCGUCUGGAAAGGCGCGCGAUACAGGGUGACAGCCCCGUACACAAAAAUGCACAUGCUGUGAGCUCGAUGAGUAGGGCGGGACACGUGGUAUCCUGUCUGAAUAUGGGGGGACCAUCCUCCAAGGCUAAAUACUCCUGACUGACCGAUAGUGAACCAGUACCGUGAGGGAAAGGCGAAAAGAACCCCGGCGAGGGGAGUGAAAAAGAACCUGAAACCGUGUACGUACAAGCAGUGGGAGCCUCUUUAUGGGGUGACUGCGUACCUUUUGUAUAAUGGGUCAGCGACUUAUAUUCUGUAGCAAGGUUAACCGAAUAGGGGAGCCGAAGGGAAACCGAGUCUUAACUGGGCGUUAAGUUGCAGGGUAUAGACCCGAAACCCGGUGAUCUAGCCAUGGGCAGGUUGAAGGUUGGGUAACACUAACUGGAGGACCGAACCGACUAAUGUUGAAAAAUUAGCGGAUGACUUGUGGCUGGGGGUGAAAGGCCAAUCAAACCGGGAGAUAGCUGGUUCUCCCCGAAAGCUAUUUAGGUAGCGCCUCGUGAAUUCAUCUCCGGGGGUAGAGCACUGUUUCGGCAAGGGGGUCAUCCCGACUUACCAACCCGAUGCAAACUGCGAAUACCGGAGAAUGUUAUCACGGGAGACACACGGCGGGUGCUAACGUCCGUCGUGAAGAGGGAAACAACCCAGACCGCCAGCUAAGGUCCCAAAGUCAUGGUUAAGUGGGAAACGAUGUGGGAAGGCCCAGACAGCCAGGAUGUUGGCUUAGAAGCAGCCAUCAUUUAAAGAAAGCGUAAUAGCUCACUGGUCGAGUCGGCCUGCGCGGAAGAUGUAACGGGGCUAAACCAUGCACCGAAGCUGCGGCAGCGACGCUUAUGCGUUGUUGGGUAGGGGAGCGUUCUGUAAGCCUGCGAAGGUGUACUGUGAGGUAUGCUGGAGGUAUCAGAAGUGCGAAUGCUGACAUAAGUAACGAUAAAGCGGGUGAAAAGCCCGCUCGCCGGAAGACCAAGGGUUCCUGUCCAACGUUAAUCGGGGCAGGGUGAGUCGACCCCUAAGGCGAGGCCGAAAGGCGUAGUCGAUGGGAAACAGGUUAAUAUUCCUGUACUUGGUGUUACUGCGAAGGGGGGACGGAGAAGGCUAUGUUGGCCGGGCGACGGUUGUCCCGGUUUAAGCGUGUAGGCUGGUUUUCCAGGCAAAUCCGGAAAAUCAAGGCUGAGGCGUGAUGACGAGGCACUACGGUGCUGAAGCAACAAAUGCCCUGCUUCCAGGAAAAGCCUCUAAGCAUCAGGUAACAUCAAAUCGUACCCCAAACCGACACAGGUGGUCAGGUAGAGAAUACCAAGGCGCUUGAGAGAACUCGGGUGAAGGAACUAGGCAAAAUGGUGCCGUAACUUCGGGAGAAGGCACGCUGAUACGUAGGUGAAGCGACUUGCUCGUGGAGCUGAAAUCAGUCGAAGAUACCAGCUGGCUGCAACUGUUUAUUAAAAACACAGCACUGUGCAAACACGAAAGUGGACGUAUACGGUGUGACGCCUGCCCGGUGCCGGAAGGUUAAUUGAUGGGGUUAGCGGUAACGCGAAGCUCUUGAUCGAAGCCCCGGUAAACGGCGGCCGUAACUAUAACGGUCCUAAGGUAGCGAAAUUCCUUGUCGGGUAAGUUCCGACCUGCACGAAUGGCGUAAUGAUGGCCAGGCUGUCUCCACCCGAGACUCAGUGAAAUUGAACUCGCUGUGAAGAUGCAGUGUACCCGCGGCAAGACGGAAAGACCCCGUGAACCUUUACUAUAGCUUGACACUGAACAUUGAGCCUUGAUGUGUAGGAUAGGUGGGAGGCUUUGAAGUGUGGACGCCAGUCUGCAUGGAGCCGACCUUGAAAUACCACCCUUUAAUGUUUGAUGUUCUAACGUUGGCCCCUAAUCGGGGUUGCGGACAGUGUCUGGUGGGUAGUUUGACUGGGGCGGUCUCCUCCUAAAGAGUAACGGAGGAGCACGAAGGUUGGCUAAUCCUGGUCGGACAUCAGGAGGUUAGUGCAAUGGCAUAAGCCAGCUUGACUGCGAGCGUGACGGCGCGAGCAGGUGCGAAAGCAGGUCAUAGUGAUCCGGUGGUUCUGAAUGGAAGGGCCAUCGCUCAACGGAUAAAAGGUACUCCGGGGAUAACAGGCUGAUACCGCCCAAGAGUUCAUAUCGACGGCGGUGUUUGGCACCUCGAUGUCGGCUCAUCACAUCCUGGGGCUGAAGUAGGUCCCAAGGGUAUGGCUGUUCGCCAUUUAAAGUGGUACGCGAGCUGGGUUUAGAACGUCGUGAGACAGUUCGGUCCCUAUCUGCCGUGGGCGCUGGAGAACUGAGGGGGGCUGCUCCUAGUACGAGAGGACCGGAGUGGACGCAUCACUGGUGUUCGGGUUGUCAUGCCAAUGGCACUGCCCGGUAGCUAAAUGCGGAAGAGAUAAGUGCUGAAAGCAUCUAAGCACGAAACUUGCCCCGAGAUGAGUUCUCCCUGACUCCCUGAGAGUCCUGAAGGAACGUUGAAGACGACGACGUUGAUAGGCCGGGUGUGUAAGCGCAGCGAUGCGUUGAGCUAACCGGUACUAAUGAACCGUGAGGCUUAACCU